rnacentral:rRNA from 1 species
CAAAGGUGAGCCAGUACAGGAUGGACCUGCGUCUGAUUAGCUAGUUGGUAAGGUAACGGCUUACCAAGGCGACGAUCAGUAGCCGACCUGAGAGGGUGAUCGGCCACAUUGGAACUGAGACACGGUCCAAACUCCUACGGGAGGCAGCAGUGGGGAAUAUUGCACAAUGGGCGAAAGCCUGAUGCAGCAACGCCGCGUGAGUGAUGAAGGCCUUCGGGUCGUAAAACCCUGUCCUCAAGGAAGAUAAUGACGGUACUUGAGGAGGAAGCCCCGGCUAACUACGUGCCAGCAGCCGCGGUAAUACGUAGGGGGCUAGCGUUAUCCGGAUUUACUGGGCGUAAAGGGUGCGUAGGCGGUCUUUCAAGUCAGGAGUGAAAGGCUACGGCUCAACCGUAGUAAGCUCUUGAAACUGGGAGACUUGAGUGCAGGAGAGGAGAGUGGAAUUCCUAGUGUAGCGGUGAAAUGCGUAGAUAUUAGGAGGAACACCAGUUGCGAAGGCGGCUCUCUGGACUGUAACUGACGCUGAGGCACGAAAGCGUGGGGAGCAAACAGGAUUAGAUACCCUGGUAGUCCACGCUGUAAACGAUGAGUACUAGGUGUCGGGGGUUACCCCCUUCG